AGUGAUGCUCUGGUCACAAAGUUCAAUACGGCUGUUCCACCAGCGAUGUAAAACAGAUGUUGUGUACAUUGAUGCCACAGGAAGCAUCAUAAAAAAAGCCAAAGGAAAAUCAGCUCCAUUUUACAUCUAUGAGCUGGUAGUAAGACAUCCAAUUAAGGGUGCUUCUCCAAUUCCUGUGGCAACAUAUGUAACUUGUGACCACACUACCUCUUCUGUCACCUACUUUUUGGAAUCAUUUCAAACUGAUUACUUUCGAUUGUUUGGAAAAACAUCACAGAGGAGGCCAGUAAUGAUCAUGUGUGAUGGGUCCCUCGUUCUACUUCAGGCUGUUGCCUAUAGUUUCUGCAAAGUAUCUCUGGGCCAGUUGCUGCAAAUCUACUAUGAAGUAGUUACUGGAAAGUUGAGGGAUGAGGAAUUUAAGAUUCCAAUUCUGCACCGUUGCUUGAGCCAUGUAAUGAAGAAUGCCAAAGCCUUCUGUAAGAAACAUUCUCCCAAAAACUACAGGCUGUCCAUGCAUGUUUUUGGCUUGUUGACAUCUGCAGCUACAUUGGUAGAGAUGGAAGACAUCCUAAUAAGCAUGACAGUUGUCUUUUCAAGCCCCUAGAGUGGCGAUAAUGUGGAGAAGCAUUUUCACAAUCUCCAGAACAAGAUGUUGAACAUGGGCAUUUCGGGAGAUAUGACAGACAUUACAGAUGAGGAUGUAGAGCUCGACAUGGGACCCACACCUUUUCAGAGGCACUUUGAACACAUCGUUGCAGAGGCACCUGUACACGAUGAGGGAGAGCCAAAUGAAUACCAUUCUGCCACAUUCAUGCCCAGUCUGGUGAAAGUACUUCUUGCCUCAUGCCCCUCUCUGGUCUGCGCUAAUGCUGGGAGAUUUGGGCCGCCAUGGAAGAGGUCCUGCCUACAAAAAUCUCUCAAAGAAAUUUGAGCAAUGUAGUCAGUUGGACACACAGAAUUACACAAAUGACAAUAAAACACAAGGCAAUUAUGGAGAAGAGCCAGUGGGACCUGAAACGUGUGCGCUUUCACAGACGCCGCCUCACACGGCUGGAUGAUUUUGUCCAUAUUUACCAAAUAACCCAUAAUUCCCUGCUGAAGGAGUUUUCAGACUCUACCCGCAAGA